rnacentral:tRNA from 1 species
ACGCCGGUGGUGUAAUUCGUAGCAUCACUGCCCGGAAAGCAGAAGAUGGGGGUUCGAGUCUCGCCUGGCGCA